rnacentral:tRNA from 1 species
GCGGGUCAGCGGGGUGGCCGGCAACCUUGCCAAGGUUGGGGUCGCGGGUUCGAAUCCCGUCGUCCGCU